rnacentral:rRNA from 1 species
GACGAACGCUGGCGGCGUGCUUAACACAUGCAAGUCGAACGGAAAGGCUCCAGCUUGCUGGAGUACUCGAGUGGCGAACGGGUGAGUAACUCGUGGGUAAUCUGCCCUGCACUCUGGGAUAAGCCUGGGAAACUGGGUCUAAUACUGGAUAUGACCUUUCUCCUUAUGGGGUUUGGUGGAAAGUUUUUCGGUGUAGGAUGAGCCCGCGGCCUAUCAGCUUGUUGGUGGGGUGAUGGCCUACCAAGGCGACGACGGGUAGCCGGCCUGAGAGGGUGAUCGGCCACAUUGGGACUGAGAUACGGCCCAGACUCCUACGGGAGGCAGCAGUGGGGAAUAUUGCACAAUGGGCGGAAGCCUGAUGCAGCGACGCCGCGUGAGGGAUGACGGCCUUCGGGUUGUAAACCUCUUUCAGCAGGGACGAAGCGUAAGUGACGGUACCUGCAGAAGAAGCACCGGCUAACUACGUG